rnacentral:rRNA from 1 species
GGGUAAAGGCCUACCAAGGCUACGAUGGCUAGCUGGUCUGAGAGGAUGAUCAGUCACACUGGAACUGGAACACGGUCCAGACUCCUACGGGAGGCAGCAGUGAGGAAUUUUGCGCAAUGGGGGCAACCCUGACGCAGCAACGCCGCGUGAGUGAAGAAGGCCUUUGGGUCGUAAAGCUCUGUCGACAGGGAAGAAGUUAUAAGAAUCCAAUAGGUUUUUAUAUUGACGGUACCUGUAGAGGAAGCACCGGCUAACUCCGUGCCAGCAGCCGCGGUAACACGGGGGGUGCAAGCGUUAUUCGGAAUUAUUGGGCGUAAAGGGCGCGUAGGCGGUCUUGUCGGUCAGAUGUGAAAGCCCAGGGCUCAACCCUGGACGUGCAUUUGAAACAGCAAGACUUGAGUACGGGAGAGGAAAGCGGAAUUCCUGGUGUAGAGGUGAAAUUCGUAGAUAUCAGGAGGAACACCGAUGGCGAAGGCAGCUUUCUGGACCGAUACUGACGCUGAGGCGCGAAGGCGUGGUAGCGAACAGGAUUAGAUACCCUGGUAGUCCACGCAGUAAACGAUGUACACUAGGUGUAGCGGGUAUUAAAACUUGCUGUGCCGCAGCUAACGCAUUAAGUGUACCGCCUGGGGAGUACGGUCGCAAGACUAAAACUCAAAGGAAUUGACGGGGGCCCGCACAAGCGGUGGAGCAUGUGGUUUAAUUCGACAACGCGAAGAACCUUACCUGGGUUUGACAUCCUGUGAACGUCCAAGAGAUUGGACAGUGCCUUCGGGAGCACAGUGACAGGUGCUGCAUGGCUGUCGUCAGCUCGUGUCGUGAGAUGUUUGGUUAAGUCCAGCAACGAGCGCAACCCUUAUCGUUAGUUGCCAGCACAUAAUGGUGGGAACUCUAGCGAGACUGCCCGGGUUAACCGGGAGGAAGGCGGGGAUGACGUCAAGUCCUCAUGGCCCUUAUAUCCAGGGCUACACACGUGCUACAAUGGUAAAUACAGAGGGCAGCGAACCUGCGAAGGUAAGCGAAUCCCUAAAGUUUAUCUCAGUCCGGAUUGGAGUCUGCAACUCGACUCCAUGAAGUUGGAAUCGCUAGUAAUCGCGGAUCAGCAUGCCGCGGUGAAUAUGUUCCCGGGCCUUGUACACACCGCCCGUCACACCAUGGGAGUUGAUUAUACCCGACGUCGCUGGGCUAACCCUUUUUGGGAAGCAGGCGCCUAAGGUAUGGUUGAUAACUGGGGUGAAGUCAACAAGGUA